UGUUAGCUUACCUAUUGGUGCACCAGUUCUUCCAGCACAAGUUAUGCCUACCCCAAUGGUAGAACCUGUAGGAAGCCCAAGCGAGUGUUUACUUUUAAAGAAUAUGUUUGAUCCUACCACUGAGUCGGAACCAGAUUUUGAUAUAGACAUUAAAGAAGAUGUAGAGGAAGAGUGUUCUAAAUAUGGCCGGGUGAAGCAUAUUUUUGUUGACAA
rnacentral:sRNA from 1 species